GGUGCGCAAAUCGCGCGAUUCCUGCUUCCAAGAUCACAUUUCACAGGUUUCCAAAAGAUGCUGAGACACGGAACCUAUGGGAGCGAGCUGUGCGUCGUGAACGCUGGAAACCGACAGAUAAAGAUCGCCUUUGCUCUGCGCACUUUGAUCCGGCGUGUUUUGACCGGACCGGACAAACAACACGAUUGAAAGCGGGAAGUGUGCCGACUUCGUUCACUGCUUUCCCUGCCCACCUCCAGGCACCGGUGAAAAGGAAGCGGCCAGCACCAAAACCUCGAGGAUGCAGUCCUGCUCAGCAGCAAGAGGCCUUAAAUACCGAAGACCACGUCACUGUAUCACCAUCAAAGCAGUGGUACAAGACGAAGUUGCAGGAAACAGAAGACGAAAGAUUGCACCUGAAGAAAAAAAUUAAAACGUUGCAGCAGAACAAGCGAAGGCUGACACAAAAGAAAAUCACCGCUGAAGAAAUUAUUAGAGGCAUCCAAGAACAGAAGCUUUUGUCAGAAGAGGGCUCCAAGAUGUUUGAUGCAGCAUUUUCUCCUGACAUACAACAACUGCUUCACCGGGCACGGACAGAAAGUGGAGGUAAAUACCCUCCAGAGCUGCGAACGUUUGCACUAACUUUACAUUUCUACUCACCAGCAGCCUACGAAUUUGUUCGAUCAAAGUUUAAUGACGCCCUCCCUUCGCAGCGCACAAUCAGAGAAUGGUAUAGGUCUGUUAACGGCCAACCAGGCUUUACAGGGGAAGCAUUUUCUUUCUUGGAGAAGUUGGUUCAAGGUCGCUCUGAAACUCUUUACUGUGCUCUGAUUGUCGAUGAUAUGUCGAUUAGGAAACACGUUGAACUUGUAGGAGACAGGAUAGUUGGAUAUGUUGAUUUUGGAGCAUCUCUUGAUGAUGACAGCCUCCCUGAAGCCACAAAUGUUUGUGUUUAUAUUGUUGUUGGCAUAAACAUGAGGCUGAAAAUACCA
rnacentral:lncRNA from 1 species